AGAACUGAUGCAGAGCUUCUUCAGGAUUUCAACCUUUUCCUUAGAGGAACUUCACCACCUGGAUGAGUUGGGCAUCCCCGCCGAUAAGAGUCAACAAAAAGUUUCCUACAAACUACGGGUCAGGAAUACUACGUGGGUUAAAAAGAAAUGGAGAUGCUGAUCAUCAGUUUUUCUCGAGAUGGAGACUCUGAAGUCACCAGAUGUUAAGAUCAUGGUCGCCACUGGAGUCUGCAACUCAAGUUCAAGGAAAUUGGUAACAGAAACAAGCACAACAAAGUGACUGAAAUGAUCCACCCUCAUUGACCAGUUCAGGAAAACCAAGGUAGGAUAAAUGAAAGGUAGGUGUUCAAUCUCAGGCGCAGCAACCAGAGCAGAUCUGAUAUAUUCUCUGUGGAAAGAUAUGUGUAUGUAAUCCAUUAUAGAUGGACACAUGAAGGGAGUCGACAACAAUAAUAAAAAUAUAUGUAAAAAGGAAAAAAAAAAACAAAUGAAACUGACAAAAAACAA